rnacentral:rRNA from 1 species
CAGCAGCCGCGGGAAUACGAAGGUCCCGAGCGUUGUUCGGAAUCACUGGGCGUAAAGGGAGCGUAGGCGGCGUGGUAAGUCAGAUGUGAAAUCCCGGGGCUCAACCCCGGAACUGCAUCCGAUACUGCUGUGCUAGAGGAUUGGAGAGGUAGCUGGAAUUCUUGGUGUAGCAGUGAAAUGCGUGGAGAUCAAGAGGAACACUCGUGGCGAAAGCGAGCUACUGGACAAUAUCUGACGCUGAGGCUCGAAGGCCAGGGUAGCGAAAGGGAUUAGAUACCCGGGUAGUCCCUGUCUCUUAUAC